rnacentral:rRNA from 1 species
CCUACGGGAGGCAGCAGUAGGGAAUAUUGGGCAAUGGGCGAGAGCCUGACCCAGCCAUGCCGCGUGCCGGAUGAAGGCCUUCUGGGUUGUAAACGGCUUUUCUCAGGGAAGAAAAAGCCCAUGCGUGGGACACUGACGGUACCUGAGGAAUAAGCACCGGCUAACUCCGUGCCAGCAGCCGCGGUAAUACGGAGGGUGCAAGCGUUGUCCGGAUUUAUUGGGUUUAAAGGGUGCGUAGGCGGCCCGUUAAGUCCGGGGUGAAAGCCCACAGCUCAACUGUGGAACUGCCCUGGAUACUGGCGGGCUUGAGUCCAGACGAGGUUGGCGGAAUGGAUGGUGUAGCGGUGAAAUGCAUAGAUACCAUCCAGAACCCCGAUUGCGUAGGCAGCUGACUAGGCUGGUACUGACGCUGAGGCACGAAAGCGUGGGGAGCGAACAGGAUUAGAUACCCUGGUAGUCCACGCCGUAAACGAUGGAUACUCGCUGGUGGCGAUAGACAGUCACUGGCUUAGCGAAAGCGGUAAGUAUCCCACCUGGGGAGUACGCUCGCAAGAGUGAAACUUAAAGGAAUUGACGG